CCUACGGGAGGCAGCAGUGGGGAAUAUUGGACAAUGGGGGGAACCCUGAUCCAGCGACGCCGCGUGAGUGAAGAAGUAUUUCGGUAUGUAAAGCUCUAUCAGCAGGGAAGAAGAAAGACGGUACCUGACUAAGAAGCCCCGGCUAACUACGUGCCAGCAGCCGCGGUAAUACGUAGGGGGCAAGCGUUAUCCGGAUUUACUGGGUGGAAAGGGAGCGUAGACGGCUGUGCAAGUCUGAAGUGAAAGCCCAGGGCUCAACCCUGGGACUGCUUUGGAAACUGUGGAGCUAGAGUGCUGGAGAGGUAAGUGGAAGUCCUGGUGUAGCGGUGAAAUGCGUAGAUAUUAGGAGGAACACCAGUGGCGAAGGCGGCUUACUGGACAGUAACUGACGUUGAGGCUCGAAAGCGUGGGGAGCAAACAGGAUUAGAUACCCUAGUAGUC
rnacentral:rRNA from 1 species